GAGAAAACAGGGUAAUAAAAACAAAGUAAAAAAUGAUAGGGAGUUUGGUAUAAUUCUUUGACAGCAUGGGAAAAAUACUCGAAUUCUAUGCAAAAAGGAAAUUUUGUAUAUAAAAAGAGUAAAAAAUUAUAUAUGGAAAUUAAAAAUAACUAUGCUUACAUAGUAGAAACUCUAACUUUGAAAAUUUACUUGACGUUGAUAUCACAAUUUGCGUUACACUUUGAGAAAUUUAAAAUGCUUGAUGUGAUUUUGUGCUUCUUAAAUUUAACAAUUUUAAUUAUACAUACUUUCGUAUAAAAUGCGGUUUACAAACAAUAAAAUAUUAUAGAAAAUAAAGUAAACAGUCCGAAAUAAAGAGGAAAAAGUCAAAUCUAUAAUGCUACAAAAUGCAUGUAGUUUAAACAAUUAUUUCCAGAGUAAGUAAAUGAAGAUUUACAGUGCAUUGCUUGAGAAAGUGCUUUGCAGCAUGGGAAUAUUUGCUCGUCAGGUAGGCGCUUAUCCCCCAUGUUUUUGAAGUAAGUUUCACUCGAUAGAUCUAUCGAAAAAUGUCUUUAUAUUAAGUACUUUGUGUGAAAUAAAACAUAGUAAAAAUAAUUUUUCUCUUAACAAUUUUCACGAUUAUGAAAAAGAUUAAAUGUACUUCCGAAAGUAUAUUUCACAUGUUGUAUAAAGCAGUAAAUAUUUUAACCUAUCUGGGUAUUUUUACAAAAAGAAUAUAAAUAUAUACUUCUUUUGAACUUAUUUUUACCCAAAAAUUUCUUGAAAAAUCAUUAUGAAAUAGGGAAAAUUUGAUAUGUUUAAAUAAAAACGUUUUGUGCAUCCUGUAACGACGCAGCGUCCAUGACGCGUCACUAGUUGUGAUCGACAUCUCAAGACGACAGCAUCCAUGUAGUUUUUGUGAAGUGAGAAAUAUUUAUUAUAAUCUUCCUUCCGGUGAAUUAAUUUCAAGCUGAUUGAAUACUUGAAAAAUAACGCCAUUACUAUUUCAAAAAAUAUAGAUGUCUUGGUUUAAAUGCUGAUCCAGAUUUGAUAAACAUUGAAUUCAACUAUGUAUUUUUCCAAAUAAGGGAAAUAAUUUGUUCCACAUUUGGAAAGAUAUUCGCCAGGAUAUUGCACUUUUGCUAAGAAGCAAAUUGAAAAGUAAUGAAGACAAAGAGUCAAUUUACAAUAUUGAAGAAUUGUCAGAAGAGCAACAAGAUGCAGUGGUUCUUUACUUACUGCCGAAGCUUAUAAGACCAUCAUUUUCGAAAUACGGAGAAGAUCCAAGGGCCAAAAAAUCAGACAAGUACAGCGAUUCAUCUGAAAAUACUUCAAAAUCUACGUGCAAUGAUAUACAAGAAUCGUUUAUUUAUGUUUUCGAAAUAUUUUUGAAAUAUAUAGAGAAUUUAUAAAAAUUG